CAGAUCUCAAAGAAAAAGUUAGUAGUAAUAAAAUUUAAUAAAUGUUAAAAUAAACAACGAGGGCAGGAAAAUGAAGAUUAAAAGACUGUCAAGAUAUUCUUGAACCAGCUGGGUCUUUUUUUUCAGCUAGGUUAUUCAGCUGGGUUAUUGUAAAUCUCCAGCUUUCUUUUCGCAUAAGCUUUCAUACCUCCAUGUGGAUCUCAAUGGGUGGAUUUAGGAACUCCGGUGACGAAAAGAUCUCCUUCGUUCCCACAGACGGCGCCAUUUGAUAACUC
rnacentral:lncRNA from 1 species